UACGGGGGGGGCAAGCGUUGUUCGGAAUUACUGGGCGUAAAGGGCGCGUAGGCGGUUGGAUAAGUCAGCUGUGAAAACCACGGGCUUAACUCGUGGCCUGCAGUUGAGACUGUCUGGCUUGAGUGUGGGAGAGGAGAGUGGAAUUCCUGGUGUAGCGGUGAAAUGCGUAGAUAUCAGGAGGAACACCGGUGGCGAAGGCGGGUCUCUGGGCAGUAACUGACGCUGAGGAGCGAAAGCGUGGGGAGCGAACAGG
rnacentral:rRNA from 1 species